AACGAACGCUGGCGGCAGGCUUAACACAUGCAAGUCGAACGCCCCGCAAGGGGAGUGGCAGACGGGUGAGUAACGCGUGGGAACAUACCCUUUUCUGCGGAAUAGCUCUGGGAAACUGGAAUUAAUACCGCAUACGCCCUACGGGGGAAAGAUUUAUCGGGGAAGGAUUGGCCCGCGUUGGAUUAGCUAGUUGGUGGGGUAAAGGCCUACCAAGGCGACGAUCCAUAGCUGGUCUGAGAGGAUGAUCAGCCACAUUGGGACUGAGACACGGCCCAAACUCCUACGGGAGGCAGCAGUGGGGAAUAUUGGACAAUGGGCGCAAGCCUGAUCCAGCCAUGCCGCGUGAGUGAUGAAGGCCUUAGGGUUGUAAAGCUCUUUCACCGAUGAAGAUAAUGACGGUAGUCGGAGAAGAAGCCCCGGCUAACUUCGUGCCAGCCGCCGCAGUAAAAC
rnacentral:rRNA from 1 species